GGCAGGCACUCAGCAUCUCUCACCUACAAUGAUUAACCGUGUCUUGCUGGUCGUGUUGGUCGUCGUACUCCUGUCGGCUUCGACACUGGCCCUUCCUGAGGCGAGUCGUCGACAUUUGUACGGAGGUUACGGAGGAUAUGGCCUUGGAGGAUUGGGCUACGGAGGCUACGGAGGCUAUGGA